AUGCAUUGAAACUGCCCUCUUUUGAGGGAACUGCUUCUAGUGAUUUUCACUUGAAGUGGGACCCCGGCCCUCUUUGGUAAUUGGAAACUUUUUCCAUCUGAGCCACCGGGUUUCAUUCAUUUUCUUACACUGUGCACACACUUCUUUCACACAUUUAAACACAAUAGUAUAAGAAUGUAACAGUCUCUUAAUUGAGCAUAAAUAAAAAU
rnacentral:misc_RNA from 1 species